UACGGGGUGCAGCAGGCGCGAAACCUCUGCAAUGCGGGAAACCGUGACAGGGGGAUCCCAAGUGCUCAUGCAUUGCAUGGGCUGUUCUUUGUCUAAGUAACCGGGGAG
rnacentral:rRNA from 1 species